UACUGCGUGGUAUAGUGGUUUGAAUGUUGGACUAUGACUCUGGACACCAGGAUUCGAGUCCCUGCUCAGCCA